GCCUUCAUGGUGUAGUUGGUUAUCACGUGAGUCUCAUAUCUUGAAUAUGACAGCCUCUUACAGGCUGAGCGAUCUCGAGGUCACCAGUUCGAUCCUGGUUGAGGGCA